UCUGACACUUUCCGGGCUGCACAGUAAAGCAACCCGGAACCAGCCCGCA
rnacentral:ncRNA from 1 species